AUGUCCAUCGUCAAGCGUGCUUUGGGCUUCGGCGGCGGCUACGGCCAGAGCAAGCCCGUGAUAAGCUACCACACCCACAACUCCGACUCGGUGACCACCGUCAUGACGGAGAUCAGCCACAUGAGCCUCAACGAGAAGCAGGCCGGGUACAACGGCGGCGUGCAGAAGACGGCCUCCCUCACGGAGCUGUGCUCUGAGGAUGCCGACGUGCAGAAGCACGGCUACGGGCAGCAGGCGUACGGGGGCGACGUCGGAGGCUUCGACGCCGUCGUCCGUGACAACGCCGGGCAGAAGCACGGCGGCUAUGGUGAGCAGAAGGCGUCGUCGUACCAGCAUGAGAGCGCUGCCGGAGGGUAUGGCGCUCACCACCACGAAAGCUCCGUGCAGAAGCACGGCGCCUAUGGCGGACAAAAGGCGGCGGCGUACCAGCAUGGAGGCUAUGACGCCGUCAGCCACGACAGCACGACGCAGAAGCAUGGCUACGGUGAGCAGAAGGCUUACCAGAAUGGGGCCGAGGCCCACCAUGACAGCUCGGCGCAGAAGCAUGGCUACGGCGAGCAGAAGGCGUACGGUGGUCACCACCAGGACAGCAAGGUCCAGAAGAGCGGCUACGGCGGCGAGCACACGGCGUAUCACCAGGACGGCAAGGUCCAGAAGCAUGGCUACGGCGAGAAGGCGCACGGCUACGGCGAGCAGAAGGCUUACGACAGCAAGGUCCAGAAGCACGGCUACGGCGAGCAGAACGCGUACGACAGCAAGGUCCAGAAGCAUGGCUAUGGCGAGAAGGCGCACGGCUAUGGCGAGCAGAAGGCGUACGAGCAUGGGAGCGCCGCCGCCGCCCUCCACCACGACAGCUACGGCGCCAUGAAGAAGCACGGCUAUGGCGGCGAGCAGAAGGCGUACGGCGCUGCAGCGGGAGGGUACGACGCCGUCCACCACGACAGCUCAGUGCAGAACUACGGCUACGGCGAGCAGAAGGCGCCGUACCAGCACGGGAGCGACGCCGGAGGGUACGGCCGUGCCCACCACGGCAGCGAGACGCAGAAGCACGGCUACGGCGGUGGGCAGAAGGCUUACGGGCACGGCGCUGAUGCCGGAGGGUACGACGCUGCUUUCCACCACGGUGGCGCGAAGCAGACGAAGCACGGCUACGGCGGCGGGCAGAUGGCCGGAGGGUACGACUCUGCUUUCCACCACGGUGGCGCGAAGCAGACGAAGCACGGCUACGGCGGCGGGCAGAUGGCCGGAGGGUACGACUCUGCUUUCCAGCACGGCGCCUAUGGCGGGCAGAAGGCGUCGUACGACGCGCUCGCCCAGAAGAAGCACGGGUACGGGCAAAAUGCGUACCAGCAGCAAGGGUGCGACGGCGGCGACGUCGCAGGGUAUGACGCUCUUGUCCAACGCCGGCAGAUGCAGAAGCAGCUGCAAUACAACCAGUUCGGGUGGGAGAGCGACGAAGAGAGCGACUGCGAAGACGAGGUGCUGGGCGGCGGAUACGGCGGCAGCACCGUGCCCGGCGCCACACAGUACUACUCCGCGUACGAGCGCCGCCAGCGGCUCGGCGGCGGGAGCCACUACGAGGCGGCGUACCAGAGCUCCACCACCCAGGGGUGCUCCGGCGGCGGCUACGGCGGCGGGUGGGCGCAGCCCAUGAAGCACAGCUACUACUGA
rnacentral:rRNA from 1 species